rnacentral:tRNA from 1 species
GGCUAUGUAGCUCAGUUGGUUAGAGCACCGCACUCAUAAUGCGGGGGUCACAAGUUCAAGUCUCGUCANGAGCACCGCACUCAUAAUGCGGGGGUCACAAGUUCAAGUCUCGUCAUAGCCACCA